UACAGAGGGUGCAAGCGUUAAUCGGAAUUACUGGGCGUAAAGCGUGCGCAGACGGUUGCGUAAGUCAGAUGUGAAAGCCCCGGGCUCAACCUGGGAAUUGCAUUUGAUACUCUGGAGCUUGAGUACGGGAGAGGAGAGUGGAAUUCCCAGUGUAGAGGUGAAAUUCGUAGAUAUUGGGAAGAACACCGGUGGCGAAGGCGGCUCUCUGGACCGUAACUGACGCUGAGGCGCGAAAGCGUGGGGAGCAAACAGG
rnacentral:rRNA from 1 species